AUGGGGGACUUCAAUCACCCUGAUACCUGUCGGAGGGACAACACAGCAAGGCACAAGCAAGCCAGGAAGUUCCUGGAAUGCGUCGAUGACAACUUCCUUCUCCAAGGGAUAGAGGAGCCGAUGGAGAGGGGUGCCAUGCUGGACCUUGUUCUCACCAACAGGGUGGGGCUGUGAAUUACUGAAAAUGGCAAAAUGAUCACAGACCUUGAGAAAACCAAAAAACAAGAUGAAGUGGAAAAAUCUGAGCUGCAGUUAGCUCUGGAAGAGGCAUAGGCAGCUCUUGAGCAUGAAGAGGUCAAAUCCUUGGUGUCAACCAAGAACUUGCACAGAUUAAGUCAGAAAUCAACAGAAAGAUUGCUGAGAAAGAAAGAUGAAGAGAUUAGUCAGUUAAAAAUGAACCAUCAAAGGGCUGUGGAGACAAUUCAGGGUGUUUAGGAUGCUGAGAUCAGGCGCAGAAGUGAAUCCUUAGGCUGAAGAAGAAGAAGAUGGAGGGAGAACUGAAUGAAAUGGUGAUCCAGCUGAGCCAUGCCAACUGCCAGGCUGUUGAGGCACAGAAACACCUACACAGCAUCCAGAGAGUUCUCAAGCCGUUGGACAUGCAGCUCCACUUGGACGAUGCUCUCAGGACGCAGGAGGACCUGAAGGAGCAAGUGGCCAUGGUGGAGCGCAGGGCAAACCUGCUGCAGGCUGAAGUUGAGGAGCUACGGGCAGCCCUGGAGCAGACGGAGCGGUCGAGGAAGGUGGCUGAGCAGGAACUUCUGGAUGCCAACGGACAUGUGCACCUCCUCCAUACUCAAAACACCAGCCUUUCUAAUGCAAAGAAGCAGCUUGAAACUGACAGGGCACAAAUCCAAAUUGAGACAGAUGAUGUUACUAAUGCAGCAAAAAAUGCUGAGUAAAGAACAAAGGAGGCAAUCACAGAUGUGGCCAUGAUGGCAGAAGAGCUGAAGAAAAAGCAGCACCAGUGGUCACCUAGAGAGGAUGAAAAAGAACCUGGACCAGAUGGUGAAGGACCUCCAGCACCAUCUGGAUGAGGCUGAGCAGUUGGCGCUGAAGGGAGGCAAGAAGCAACUCUUGAAGAUGGAGGCUAGAAUCCAAGAGUUGGAAGCUGAGCUGGAAGUAUAAUAUAAACAAUCUGCAGAGGCUAUGAAAAAAUCCACAAAGAUGAAAGGUGUGUCAAAGAGUUUACUUUCCAGAAUGAAGAACACAGGAAGAACAUGAGGAGGUUACAAGGUCUGGUAGAUAAGCUGCAGAAGAAAAUCAAAUCCUACAAAAGACAAGAUGAGGAGGCUUAUGAACAAGCCAAUACUAGUCUCUCCAAAUUCAGAAAAGUAUAAGCUAGAAGAGACUGAGGAAAGGGCAGAUAUUGCUGUGUGUCAAGUAAACAAGCUCAGAGCUAAAACCUGAGAAGUCCCUUCUACUAAG